UCGCCAUGAUGAAUGAUUCCAAAGCCAUUCGUAGUUUCCACCAGACCAGAGCUGUGAGGCUCAUGAUGGCACGAUUACCUUCCUUGGAUGUCUGAGCGA
rnacentral:snoRNA from 1 species